UAAUCCCCGUUAAACCUCACCCCUCCUUGUUUUUCCCGCCUAUAUACCGCCGUCGUCAGCUUACCCUGUGAAGGCCCAAUAGUAAGCACAAUUGGCACAGCCCAAAACGCCAGGUCGAGGUGUAGCGUAUGGAGGGGGAAGAAAUGGGCUACAUUCAGUGAAUCACUGAACACGGAAGGCGGGCUGAAACGCCCGCCCGAAGGAGGAUUUAGCAGUAAGUGGGAAAUAGAGCGUCCCACUGAAACUGGCCCUGAAGCGCGUACACACCGCCCGUCACUCUCCCCGAAACAAAGCUAUACGCAUACAUAAAACCUAAUCAUCA
rnacentral:rRNA from 1 species